AGCUGCCAAGAAAAGUGACGGGAUGAGAAGCACUGGUGAUGGAUGCCUGCAAAGCAGUGGGACUGGUGAGGGAGGAGAUUCCAGCCCUCUGCUCCACUCUGAGGGAGCGGUGGCUGUGGCAGAUAUGUUCUGUGCGUCCAUAGCAGUGGGAUCGGCGAGGGAGGAGAUUCCGGCCCUCUGCUCUGUUCUGCAGAGAGAAGUUGACAGAAGUACCCAUCAAGAGUCACUGCAGGACCCUCACCUGCAGGACAGUGAGAGGGAAAAGCAAUGUGUCGGUGCCCUCCAUGCCAACAGUAUUCAGG